GAUGAACGCUGGCGGCGUGCCUAAUACAUGCAAGUCGAGCGAACAGACGAGGAGCUUGCUCCUUUGACGUUAGCGGCGGACGGGUGAGUAACACGUGGGUAACCUACCUAUAAGACUGGGAUAACUUCGGGAAACCGGAGCUAAUACCGGAUAAUAUUUCGAACCGCAUGGUUCGAUAGUGAAAGAUGGCUUUGCUAUCACUUAUAGAUGGACCUGCGCCGUAUUAGCUAGUUGGUAAGGUAACGGCUUACCAAGGCAACGAUACGUAGCCGACCUGAGAGGGUGAUCGGCCACACUGGACCUGAGACACGGUCCAGACUCCUACGGGAGGCAGCAGUAGGGAAUCUUCCGCAAUGGGCGAAAGCCUGACGGAGCAACGCCGCGUGAGUGAUGAAGGUCUUCGGAUCGUAAAACUCUGUUAUUAGGGAAGAACAAACGUGUAAGUAACUGUGCACGUCUUGACGGUACCUAAUCAGAAAGCCACGGCUAACUACGUG
rnacentral:rRNA from 1 species